rnacentral:rRNA from 1 species
GACGAACGCUGGCGGCGUGCUUAACGCAUGCAAGUCGAACGGAAAGGCCCUGCUUUUGUGGGGUGCUCGAGUGGCGAACGGGUGAGUAACACGUGAGUAACCUGCCCUUGACUUUGGGAUAACUUCAGGAAACUGGGGCUAAUACCGGAUAGGAGCUCCUGCUGCAUGGUGGGGGUUGGAAAGUUUCGGCGGUUGGGGAUGGACUCGCGGCUUAUCAGCUUGUUGGUGGGGUAGUGGCUUACCAAGGCUUUGACGGGUAGCCGGCCUGAGAGGGUGACCGGCCACAUUGGGACUGAGAUACGGCCCAGACUCCUACGGGAGGCAGCAGCGGGGAAUAUUGCACAAUGGGCGGAAGCCUGAUGCAGCAACGCCGCGUGCGGGAUGACGGCCUUCGGGUUGUAAACCGCUUUCGCCUGUGACGAAGCGUGAGUGACGGUAAUGGGUAAAGAAGCACCGGCUAACUACGUG